rnacentral:pre_miRNA from 1 species
UUAACUCAUAUUUGUAUGGAAUGGGAUCGUUUGCCUACGAUUGCCGCUAGGGCGCUGUUCCAACUGCAUACAAAAUUCGGUUA